rnacentral:lncRNA from 1 species
CAAAAAAAACAAAAGAAAGUCUCUCAUCCUCCUCAUCAACAUUUCCACCUCCGGGGAGUUCGAAUAACCCCCACAUGGACCACCACUUCGCCGGAAAGCCCUUGACGGCCAGCCCAUUCGGCAACCGGGCCGAUAUCGACCAUAUGCCUGACGCUCCAUACCGAGGGGCCCACCACCGCCGGGCCCAGUCCGAGACUUUCUUCCGCUUCUCGGACGACAUCCUUCUCGACGCCGAUGCCGACGUUGAUGUCGACUUCAACCUCG